rnacentral:rRNA from 1 species
UACGUAGGGUGCGAGCGUUGUCCGGAAUUAUUGGGCGUAAAGAGCUCGUAGGCGGUCUGUCGCGUCGGUCGUGAAAACUUGGGGCUUAACCCUGAGCUUGCGGUCGAUACGGGCAUGACUGGAGUUCGGCAGGGGAGACUGGAAUUCCUGGUGUAGCGGUGAAAUGCGCAGAUAUCAGGAGGAACACCGGUGGCGAAGGCGGGCCAUCUGGGACCGGAUACUGACGCUGAGAGCGACGAAGCGUGGGGUAGCAAACAGG